rnacentral:rRNA from 1 species
GACGAACGCUGGCGGCGUGCCUAACACAUGCAAGUCGAACGGAGUUAAUAUGGAAGUGCUUUCGGGUGUGGAAGUGUUAACUUAGUGGCGAACGGGUGAGUAACGCGUGAGAAACCUGCCUCUCAGUGGGGGACAACAGUUGGAAACGACUGCUAAUACCGCAUAAGACCACAUUCCCGCAUGAUAGAGCUAUGAAAGGAGCAAUCCGCUGUAAGAUGGCCCCGCGUCCGAUUAGAUAGUUGGUGGGGUAACGGCCUACCAAGUCGACGAUCAGUAGCCGGACUGAGAGGUUGAUCGGCCACAUUGGGACUGAGACACGGCCCAGACUCCUACGGGAGGCAGCAGUGGGGAAUAUUGCACAAUGGAGGAAACUCUGAUGCAGCGACGCCGCGUGAGGGAAGAAGGUAUCGUAUUGUAAACCUCUGUCUUCGGGGACGAUAAUGACGGUACCCGAGGAGGAAGCACCGGCUAACUACCGUGCCAGCAGCCGCGGU